UAAGACAGAGGCCUCGAGCGUUAGGCGGAAUCACUGGGCUUAAAGCGUGUGUAGGCGGACCUCUAAGUACCUUGUGAAAUCCCACGGCUCACCCGUGGAACCGCUGGGUAUACUGGGGGUCUUGGGCCAUUCAGGGGCAACUGGAACAAGCGGUGGAGCGGUGAAAUGCGUAGAUAUCGCUUGGAACGCCGACGGUGAAAACAGGUUGCUGGGAAUGCGCCGACGCUGAGACACGAAAGCCAGGGGAGCAAACGGGAUUAGAUACCCCGGUAGUCCUGGCCCUAAACGAUGUCCACUAGAUUGCGGCGGGUUUGACCCCGUCGCGGUCGAAGCAAAAGUGUUAAGUGGACCGCCUGGGAAGUACGGUCGCAAGGCUA
rnacentral:rRNA from 1 species